rnacentral:tRNA from 1 species
CGGGGCGUGGCGCAGCCUGGUAGCGCGCCUGCUUUGGGAGCAGGAUGUCGCAGGUUCGAAUCCUGCCGCCCCGACCU